UACGUAGGGUGCAAGCGUUGUCCGGAAUUUAUUGGGCGUAAAGAGCUCGUAGGCGGUCUGUCGCGUCUGCUGUGAAAACUCAGGGCUUAACCCUGAGCUUGCAGUGGGUACGGGCAGACUAGAGUGCGGUAGGGGGAGACUGGAAUUCCUGGUGUAGCGGUGAAAUGCGCAGAUAUCAGGAGGAACACCGGUGGCGAAAGGCGGGGUCUCUGGGGCCGUAACUGACG
rnacentral:rRNA from 1 species